rnacentral:rRNA from 1 species
GACGAACGCUGGCGGCGCGCUUAACACAUGCAAGUCGAGCGAAGCGGCGGACGGGUGAGUAACACGUGAGUAACCUGCCUUAGACAUUGGGAUAGUCUCUGGAAACCCGGAUUAAUACCAAAUGGUCUAAGAUGGACUCGCGUCCCAUUAGCAAGUUGGUGAGGUAACGGCCCACCAAGGGGACGAUGGGUAGCCGGGAUGAGAGGGUGAACCUCGACAUUUGAACUGAGCAACGGUCGAAACUCUACGGGAUGCGGCAGUGGGUGAUAUUGCACAAUGGAGGGAACGCUGAUGCAGCUACGCCUCGUGAACAAUGAAGGCUUUCGAGUCGUAAAGUUCUUUUAUAUGGGAAGCGGUACCAUAAGAAAAAGCCCCGGCUAACUACGUGCCAGCAGCCGCGGUAAUUC